rnacentral:rRNA from 1 species
UACGGGGGGGGCAAGCGUUGUUCGGAAUUACUGGGCGUAAAGGGUUCGUAGGUGGCCCGCUAAGUCAGACGUGAAAUCCCUCAGCUCAACUGGGGAACUGCGUCUGAGACUGGCAGGCUCGAGUGCAGGAGAGGAACGCGGAAUUCCAGGUGUAGCGGUGAAAUGCUUAGAGAUCGUCCAGAACACCGAUAGCGAAGGCAGCUUACUAAGGAGUAACUGACGCUGAGGCACGAAAGUGUGGGGAGCAAACAGG